GGAUGUGAGGGUGAUCUACCUGUGACAUUUGUCACCCCGUUGAUCACCAGGGUCGAUUUGGCUAAUUGGCUGGCUAGGCAGGUGUCACCUUCCUCCCUCACCACUCCAUGUGCAUCCCUCCCGAAGCUGGAUACUCGGUGGAAGAGGACAACCAUCCCAGAUAAAAGGAGCAUACUGUUCUUUGGUCAAAGGUAUAGGAUAGCUAAGAUUGGUGUCACAUUUCACUCUUAUCCUCUCCCCAUCGUUCCAUGAGGUGGAUGGUGACUGUU